AGGCAAUUUAGCCACAUAUGAUCCACAUAUGCAUUACCUUUCAUAUGAGGAUCAUAUGUGGAUCAUAUGAGAAUCAUAUGUAUAUACAAUCAUAUGAGAAUCAUAUGUGGCAAAUCAUAUGAGAAUCAUAUGAUUACACAUAUGUAAAUCAUAUGAAGUAAUAUACAUAUGAUUCUCAUAUGAAAGAUCCUGCAUAUGAGAAUCAUAUGAAUAUUCUGACAAUAAUCAUAUGAGAAUCAUAUGAAACUGAUCAUAUGAGAAUCAUAUGAAACAAUGUUCACUAAUUUGUCCUUGUUAUACUCAGGUAAAAUUCAUACGAAUGUUUUGACAGUGAUCAUAUGAGAAUCAUAUGAAACGGUGAUCAUAUGAGAAUCAUAUGAAACAGUGUUCACUUAUCUGUCCUUGUUAUACUGAAGUAAAAUUGCAAUUUCAAUAAUAUAUAUCUAAAGAUAAAUUUAAAUGUACAUUAAUUCAAAAGAAUUUGUUAGUAAUUAAUUAUAUGUAAAGUUCUACUCUGUUUACUCUAACCCCCCCCCCUUCCUUCUAAAAAAAACCUUUCACAAUUUUUUUUUCUGUUAUAAUGCAUUUCCCAGACAAAAUAGAUAAAGAAUAAAUUAAUUUGCUUUUCAUUUUAAAUCUUUUGGGUUUGGCUAAGUACAAUUAAAAUAAUUCCGUAUUUUUCUCCGGGCGGGUUUUGUCUUUUAUCGGAUGAAAAUAUACGUCAUUUUUUACGUCACUGCUGGAGCAGACGUGUUGGGUGUUUGGAAAAGGCAAGUGAUCUCCUAACAAUAUUAUUUUAAAGACUUUUGAUUCAUAUUGUUUCAAUAUCAUUUCAUUAUGGUGCGUAUGAACUUUCUAUAUAAUAUUCUUAUUACUUCAGUACUUGCAUGCAUUUCGUAAACCUAACGUUCGUGAUCUGUAAGUAAGUUUGGAUAAAAUUUGUUUCUGAAUGAAUGUAAACAUUACAUGUUAGGCUAAAGGCAUUACUACUUUUUAAAACUUGAAUUUGUUUUCGUUUUGUUACGUACUGAUAUGAAAGUGAAAGUAGAAACCUUGUAUGUCAGUUGGCGUUAUGUAUGUUGAGAUCGGUAUUAAGUCCGGAUUCCUUCUUCAACUUAAUGACAAAUGUUUGUAUUUAUGGCCUAUAGAUGCAUUCGGCAACUUGAGUUCAGUGUCACAGUGCUGUUUUUUUUUUCAGUCCAAAGAGCCCGAAGCUGAUAAGACUGGCGAUUGAUCCUGAAGCUGAUUUGACAGACGAUUGCAUCAUCACAAUAUUGAAGGUUCAAUAUACAUGCAGUCAGCCUCUCAUAAGAUAAAGAACAAAUCCCAAGAUCCAAGGCUUGCUUCAAAGUUAAGAGACCAUUCUGUGCCACAAAGAAAUUGUUCAGGAAGAGGAGAAGUGGUGGAUAUGCAUUUUUGGUACGGUACAGUUCAAAGAGAUUUUCAAAAUGGUCAUGGAAGAUCAAAGGGAGGACAACUGAAAAAAUUGAAAGAUACAGAAGGAAAAAGAACAAGGAAAUAUAUGAAAUAAUUAUGAAAUGGGGAGGAUGUACACAAUCUUGUCUGAAUUUGAGCUGUGAAAAUUUCCCAUAUUCUUAUUGUAUGCUGGAAUAAUCAAUAACUUGAUUUUUCAUAAAUUUACAAUAGAGAAUACAUGACAAAUGUUAUUGCUGAUAUUUCAAUUUUGCUUUGGACACUUUCAUGUCAUAUGGUAUUUUUAUACAUGAACUAAUUAUGUUAUUCAUUUGUACAUGUACAGUAUACAUGUUUAACUACUAAAUCAUUUUGCUGAAAUCUUAUAAUUUGUACUCAUGUUAGAAUAUGUUAAAUACAUGUAUCGACAAAUGCUACUGAUUUGUUUGUAUAUUUUCUUGUUUAGAAUGUACACUGUGAAAAAUAAGUUAUUUCUCUUGAUGAAAAUAAUUUUAUCAAAAAAGUUGUGUAAGCAUUUUAAGAUAUUAUAAAAUAUUUAACCAAUGAAGAUAGAUCAUUGUAAUGUAAUGAAUUUUCAUCUAAAGCAGAAAUAUCUGAUUUUUAAAUGUGUACAAGAAUGUGAAAAAUAUUGAAAAAGAACACACAAGUGUUUCAUAUGAUUUACAUAUGAUGUCCUUUUCAUAUGAUUCUCAUAUGUAAAUGGCUUGAAACACACAUAAGUGUUUCAUAUGAUUUACAUAUGACACCCUUUUCAUAUGAUUCUCAUAUGUAAAUGGCUUGAAACACACUUAAAUCAUUCAUAUGAAAAUCAUAUGUAGUUAUUUUCAUAUGAUUCACAUAUGUGGAUCAUAUGUAAAUCAUAUGAUUUGCUUCAUAUGAUUCACAUAUGAUGCCCUUUUUCUAUGAUUCUCAUAUGAAACCAAUCAUAUGAGAAUCAUAUGAUACUCAUAUGAGAAUCAUAUGUGGCUAAGUUGCC